CUGGGUUUCCUGAUCUCUUCGUUGCAGCAGAGCUCCAAUCGUUUUUCUGUUGCUUAUCAAGCUAGUUUUCUGACUUUUUUCCAUUUGUGGACAAUGGCGAUGAAAACGAGCUCUGCAGUUACAGUGCUAGUAUUGGUCUUCCUAUGCCUUAGCUCCAUGCUCCAUGAAACCGAGGCUGCCUGCGCCGCGACCACCAGUCUGCUAGCCUGCUUGCCGGCGACGCAAUCGGACAUCAUGCCUUCCGCAACUUGCUGCACGCAACUCUCGAGCUACGUGGCCAACAACGGCCAGGAUUGCCUGUGCUCUGCAUCCACGAGCAACACCGCGCGUUCCGAUCUCGCCCUGAAACUUCCCCAGAAAUGCAACCUCAAGUUCAAGGCUGGAACCACUUGCAAUGGUAAUUUGACGUGGAAAAGAGCUUCCCGUUUACCUCGUGACGUUGCUCCCCUAUCUGAACUGUUCUUUUUGAGUUGCCCUACUAUCUACAUUACGCGGUUGUACCUUCGAUGGAACUAUUGAUUUAGACAUCAAGUUGCACCCUCUAUGGUGUUAGAGGUUUUUGAAUGAAGUUGGUGUCCCUCCGUUGAUCUGUGCAGGCAGAGUUAUUCCAGGAGGCCAGUGAUCGUCUCCGUGAGGGAGAACGUCGCCAGGAGCAGACUGGGACGCAAGAUCAGCGCUCAGAACUGGUUAGAUCCUCAGUUUCAGGGAGUGAUUAGAGUCACGUGAGACGUGGGAGUAAAUAGAUUGGCAGACACCGGAGGGAAUGUUUACUAGGACGGAAUAUAUUCACAAUGCGAGUUGAGGUUUUAAUAGAUACAACCUCCUCAUCUCGGUAAGUUUCACUUGGGAGGGAUGAGCAUAAUCGGGCGCCGACCCGUUCUGUUCCUCUGAGAUCACUUUCCGCAUACAAUACUAAGCUUGUUAACUAAUUUCAGCCCUGCGACCCUUUGAUGCCUAUUUUUCCUGCAAGAAGUGGGAGCGGAUACUCUAAGUCGCAAACUGUUUAGCAGAGUGUAGACUGUGUGUCAUAAUUUGACCGAUACUUCAUUCCUCUGUGCACUCAGUCCUCUCACAUCACCAUAAACGACCCAGCGAUAACGUACAGUUUAAAUAAAAUUAUGCAUAAAGACGGUUCAGAUGGCGGUCUUCUAUGUUGUCCGGGCAAAGUUGGAAGAGCGCAAAGCCCUUAAUUUAUUGGCUCAGAGCUUGAGCAUCCAGCGUGUUGGCCACCUCCGUCGUGGCUUUGCAUCAAAGCCAUCGACCUCAGGAGAUGUUAUCUUCAUAUAACCUUUUUUCAGUCUUGAGAAGUGCAUAACUGGAUAGUACUCACGAUUAAAUGAGAAACUAACACAUUUUUAUUUAAAAAAAAAAAACUCAAUGAAGCAAAUUAGAGAUCGCCGCAAACGUCGUCACAAGACAUCUCCGUUGUCUGGGCUGGCUUUUCUCAAGCCUCGCGAGCAUACCCCUGAAAUGAGCGCCGUUGAAUUCGGUAAUUCAGUGAUAAUAAAUAUGCCGAUUGAUUUUACGUAGAAAACUGACACGCC
rnacentral:lncRNA from 1 species